CUCUGAGGACAGGGGUGGGGUUCUCUUCACCAUCAGACUGGGAGCCCUCUGAGGUUGGAGAAACAGGUCUGUCCUGUGUCACAUUCUCUGGAGUUUGAGAACAAGGCUCUGUUGUGAGGGGACGGGAUUGGAUGGCCUCCUUGCUACCAUCUGGUCAGCAGGCAAGGACGUGGACCCUGUGCAGCCCCUCUGUGUGGCCUCAGCGUAACAGAUAAGGCAAUUGAGGCUUCCAAGAAUUUGAUUUUUGACUGUGGAACACUAGUCUGUAAGAAUGUAAUAAAGAGAGAGGCAGCAAAUCACAGCAAUGAAUAACCAUGGAACCAGACUCUGGAACCAGGCUGCCUUGGUUCAAAU
rnacentral:lncRNA from 1 species